UACAGAGGUCCCAAGCGUUGUUCGGAUUCACUGGGCGUAAAGGGCGCGUAGGCGGACGGCUUUGUCGGGCGUGAAAUUCCAGGGCUUAACCUUGGGGCUGCGUUCGAGACGGGUUGUCUAGAGUUUGGAAGAGGGUCGUGGAAUUCCCAGUGUAGAGGUGAAAUUCGUAGAUAUUGGGAAGAACACCGGUGGCGAAGGCGGCGACCUGGUCCUUGACUGACGCUGAGGCGCGAAAGCGUGGGGAGCAAACAGG
rnacentral:rRNA from 1 species